rnacentral:rRNA from 1 species
AUUGAACGCUGGCGGCAGGCCUAACACAUGCAAGUCGAACGAGUGGCGGACGGGUGAGUGAUGUGUGGGAAACUGCGCGAUGGGGGGGGGUAAAUACUCGGAACGGUGGAUAAUACAGCAUAUCACCUCAUGUGUCCAGAUGGGGUUAGCUAGUGGGUGGGGUAAUGGCUCACCUAGGCGACGAGCCCUAGCUGGUCUGAGAGGAUGACCAGCCACACUGGAACUGAGACACGGUCCAGACUCCUACGGGAGGCAGCAGUGGGGAAUAUUGCACAAUGGGCGCAAGCCUGAGACAGCCAUGCCGCGUGUAUGAAGAAGGCCUUCGGGUUGUAAAGUACUUUCAGCGAGGAGGCGUUACUCGCAGAAGAAGCACCGGCUAACUCCGUGCCAGCAGCCGCGGUAAUAC